rnacentral:rRNA from 1 species
GUGGGGAAUAUUGGACAAUGGGCGAAAGCCUGAUCCAGCCAUGCCGCGUGUGUGAAGAAGGUCUUCGGAUUGUAAAGCACUUUAAGUUGGGAGGAAGGGCAGUAAGUUAAUACCUUGCUGUUUUGACGUUACCGACAGAAUAAGCACCGGCUAACUUCGUGCCAGCAGCUGCGGUAAUACGAAGGGUGCAAGCGUUAAUCGGAAUUACUGGGCGUAAAGCGCGCGUAGGUGGUUUUGUAAGUUGGAGGUGAAAUCCCCGGGCUCAACCUGGGAACUGCCUCCAAAACUGCAUGACUAGAGUACGGUAGAGGGUAGUGGAAGUUCCUGUGUAGCGGUGAAAUGCGUAGAUAUAGGAAGGAACACCAGUGGCGAAGGCGACUACCUGGACUGAUACUGACACUGAGGUGCGAAAGCGUGGGGAGCAAACAGGAUUAGAAACCCGAGUAGUCC